UUGAUUGGUGCUUGCAUCAUGAUUUACAUUUGAGUGAGUGGCGAACUGGUGAGUAACACGUGGGAAACCUGCCCAGAAGCGGGGGAUAACACCUGGAAACAGAUGCUAAUACCGCAUAACAACUUGGACCGCAUGGUCCGAGUUUGAAAGAUGGCUUCGGCUAUCACUUCUGGAUGGUCCCGCGGCGUAUUAGCUAGAUGGUGAGGUAACGGCUCACCAUGGCAAUGAUACGUAGCCGACCUGAGAGGGUAAUCGGCCACAUUGGGACUGAGACACGGCCCAAACUCCUACGGGAGGCAGCAGUAGGGAAUCUUCCACAAUGGACGAAAGUCUGAUGGAGCAACGCCGCGUGAGUGAAGAAGGGUUUCGGCUCGUAAAACUCUGUUGUUAAAGAAGAACAUAUCUGAGAGUAACUGUUCAGGUAUUGACGGUAUUUAACCAGAAAGCCACGGCUAACUACGUGCCAGCAGCCGCGGUAAUACGUAGGUGGCAAGCGUUGUCCGGAUUUAUUGGGCGUAAAGCGAGCGCAGGCGGUUUUUUAAGUCUGAUGUGAAAGCCUUCGGCUCAACCGAAGAAGUGCAUCGGAAACUGGGAAACUUGAGUGCAGAAGAGGACAGUGGAACUCCAUGUGUAGCGGUGAAAUGCGUAGAUAUAUGGAAGAACACCAGUGGCGAAGGCGGCUGUCUGGUCUGUAACUGACGCUGAGGCUCGAAAGUAUGGGUAGCAAACAGGAUUAGAUACCCUGGUAGUCCAUACCGUAAACGAUGAAUGCUAAGUGUUGGAGGGUUUCCGCCCUUCAGUGCUGCAGCUAACGCA
rnacentral:rRNA from 2 species